rnacentral:siRNA from 1 species
GCGCUUAUUUAACGUCGUUGGCU